CGGAAUCUUGAGAGCGGCGCACGGGUGCGGAACACGUGUGCAACCUGCCUUUAUCUGGGGGAUAGCCUUUCGAAAGGAAGAUUAAUACCCCAUAAUAUAUUGAGUGGCAUCACUUGAUAUUGAAAACUCCGGUGGAUAGAGAUGGGCACGCGCAAGAUUAGAUAGUUGGUGAGGUAACGGCUCACCAAGUCAAUGAUCUUUAGGGGGCCUGAGAGGGUGAUCCCCCACACUGGUACUGAGACACGGACCAGAUUCCUACGGGAGGCAGCAGUGAGGAAUAUUGGACAAUGGGUGAGAGCCUGAUCCAGCCAUCCCGCGUGAAGGACGACUGCCCUAUGGGUUGUAAACUUCUUUUAUACUGGGAUAAACCUACCCUUCGUGAGGGUAGCUGAAGGUACAGUAUGAAUAAGCACCGGCUAACUCCGUGCCAGCAGCCGCGGUAAUACGGAGGGUGCAAGCGUUAUCCGGAUUUAUUGGGUUUAAAGGGUCCGUAGGCGGACUCGUAAGUCAGUGGUGAAAUCUCAUAGCUUAACUAUGAAACUGCCAUUGAUACUGCGGGUCUUGAGUAAAGUAGAAGUGGCUGGAAUAAGUAGUGUAGCGGUGAAAUGCAUAGAUAUUACUUAGAACACCAAUUGCGAAGGCAGGUCACUAUGUUUUAACUGACGCUGAUGGACGAAAGCGUGGGGAGCGAACAGGAUUAGAUACCCUGGUAGUCCACGCCGUAAACGAUGCUAACUCGUUUUUGGGUUUUCGGAUUCAGAGACUAAGCGAAAGUGAUAAGUUAGCCACCUGGGGAGUACGUUCGCAAGAAUGAAACUCAAAGGAAUUGACGGGGGCCCGCACAAGCGGUGGAUUAUGUGGUUUAAUUCGAUGAUACGCGAGGAACCUUACCAAGGCUUAAAUGGGAAUUGACAGGUUUAGAAAUAGAUCCUUCUUCGGACAAUUUUCAAGGUGCUGCAUGGUUGUCGUCAGCUCGUGCCGUGAGGUGUUAGGUUAAGUCCUGCAACGAGCGCAACCCCUGUCACUAGUUGCCAUCAUUCAGUUGGGGACUCUAGUGAGACUGCCUACGCAAGUAGAGAGGAAGGUGGGGAUGACGUCAAAUCAUCACGGCCCUUACGCCUUGGGCCACACACGUAAUACAAUGGCCGGUACAGAGGGCAGCUACUAUGCGAAUAGAUGCGAAUCUCGAAAGCCGGUCUCAGU
rnacentral:rRNA from 1 species